AGGGCCUACCGGAUGAUUGGCACCGAGUGCUGGGUUAGCCUCCGGACUCCUGCUAGGCUCCCUGGGUGCUGAGUGAAGGAGCGCCACGUGGCUCCUGGCCACCUCUGGCUAGCCUGGUUGUACCCAAGCUUCAAGGUGUUGAAUCCCAUGGAGUGACGACAUUCUAUUCCUCAAAAUCCGACCUUCUCACAUUCUGCCUCUCUUCCAUCAGACUGUUCAAACAAUGGACCGGAAGAAAUUGCAGUUUCCCCAGGACUCUCAUUCUGGAAGAAGAGAAAGAUUAAAGCCUGGACCAGCCAGAGAAGAAACUUAUCUCCUGGAACUUUUAAACCACUGUGCCGAAGACACUCCAGUCCUCCACUUACACUGUGACCUUGGGCCAGGACCCUGAAGAUGCACUUGGAAAGUUACUGGGCCUCUCUGUCUCUGUUCCUAGUGUGCUGAUAUUAAAUUAAUUUCCCUCUUCAUAAAUGUUGACAAUGUGCCUUUGAGAUUCUUUUCUUUUGAUCUAGCACAGACACUACAACUGAAGUCCCUCAAAGCUUCACACAGGGAAACUGAGGCUUCUCCUGGAUAGCAGCAUAAAAACUGGGCCAGUUUAACACAUCUGCUUUCAGUUAACCUCAUAGAAGCUGGGGAGACAGAUCUGGGACAGGUGUGGCCAUCCUUCUGGGCCAGGUUUAACAGAGCAAAGGUUUCUCCUAGACCCAGAGAACAUCGGUUCAGCCUCUAGUGGGGCCUCCCAAAGCUGACCCCAUCUGGGAAGUGCCCUGUGUGUACAGCUGGCUUCCUGCCUCCUUGCUGUAGAAGAGGCUGGCCUUCUGACCUUCCAGGCUGUUUGUUGUGUUUCUAAACAAUGCUUACGGUCCUGCUUCCUCUCCAGUGAGUCUGUUGCCUCUCAGUGCUGCUGUCAAGAUCGGGGCAAGAUGUUUCAUGUUUCGUCCUGCUCUUGCCUGAGUUUUCUACUACAGUACUUAUCUAUAUAUUAUUCAUGUCUAUCUAUAUACCAAUACAUAGAUAUAUCUAUAUAAUAAGAUUAUAUUAACUAGAUAGAUGACUUAAUGAUUACAUUAACAAAUAACUAGAAACGUGACUUGAGAAGGUUAAGUAGAGGGUUUAAGAUGUUUUAACAGCAAGACACUAACUCCCCUUGCUAGCCCUUUACUUGUCACCAAACAGAUCAGUUCCAUCUUAUGGUUAUAAAAUGGCCUACCUCAGCCUAUAAGAAGAGCAGGGGGCAUAUCUCGCUUCAUGGAUAUUAACGUUAGGGGCUUGUUGUUGUCAUGCAAAAGCACAGCUCUCACCUCAAAGGGGAUACAGACAUAGUUUAUUCUGGAGCCAAAUAUGAGGCCCAGGUAACCAUGGCCCAGGAACACAGAAUCAGGUUACCCCAAAUUCCAUCUUCCAGUGUGGAAAGCAGCAUAUAACAUAGAACACCAUAAAUCAAAGUAAAUUUCAACUACAUUGGUGGAAAUAUUCCUCCAUUUUCAGAACCAGCAGCAGUCAGAUCUCUCUCUCUCUCUCUCUCUCUCUCUCUCUCUCUCUCUGGACAAAAGCUGAGGAGGAUUUCUGUAGGACUGAGGGUGGCCAUGUGACUGUGAUCCCAUACUGAGGGAGAAUGGGAGAGAACCCUGGUGGGACAGAGGAGACAUUCUAAGUUCUAAAGAGAGACACUUGUGUCCCACUGUAUAGAGAAUGGAGCCAGCAGAGCUGACCUGGAGGCUGACAAAAGGCCUCAAAGCCAAAUCUGUGUAUUGGGUAGGAGUCAACUAUAAGCUGGUCAUAUAAAAAGGAAUAAAGGGAGGACAUAGUUUAAUUAAGGACCAGUAAAAAGGACAAGGGGGAGAAAAUGAACGAACAGAGAGUCAGCAUGUGACUAUGCCUGUGAUUGGGUAAAAAAAAAAUCACAUGGUAUGUCCCUGGUUGGACCAACAGGGUGUACAAGGAAUGUGGGAGCCCACAGACAUACCC
rnacentral:lncRNA from 1 species